AGCUCAGUUGGUAGAGCAUCUCCCUUACAAGGAGGGGGUCACUGGUUCGAGCCCGGUA
rnacentral:tRNA from 1 species